CCCUUAGAUGUUCUGGGCCGCACGCGCGCUACACUGAUGCAUUCAACGAGUUUCUUCCUGGUCCGAGAGGAAUGGGUAACCUUUUGAAAGUGCAUCGUGAUAGGGAUAGACUAUUGCAAUUAUUGGUCUUCAACGAGGAAUUCCUAGUAGACGUAGUUCAUCAGACUGCAUCGAUUACGUCCCUGCCCUUUGUACACACCGCCCGUCGCUCCUACCGAUUGAAGAGUUAGGUGAAUUGUUUUGAUCGAUAAGAUUUGACUAUGGUCAACUCUCGUUGUGAAAUUCUGUGAAUCUGACUGUUUAGAGGAAGGAAAAGUCGUAACA
rnacentral:rRNA from 1 species